UACCCACUAUAAUAAAAUGCUUCUCUGACC
rnacentral:piRNA from 1 species